rnacentral:rRNA from 1 species
AGCGAACGCUGGCGGCAGGCUUAACACAUGCAAGUCGAGCGGGCAUCUUCGGGCGUCAGCGGCGGACGGGUGAGUAACGCGUGGGAACGUGCCUUCUGGUUCGGAAUAACUCAGGGAAACUUGAGCUAAUACCGGAUACGCCCUUUUGGGGAAAGGUUUACUGCCGGAAGAUCGGCCCACGUCUGAUUAGCUAGUUGGUGGGGUAACGGCCUACCAAGGCGACGAUCAGUAGCUGGUCUGAGAGGAUGAUCGGCCACACUGGGACUGAGACACGGCCCAGACUCCUACGGGAGGCAGCAGUGGGAAUAUUGGACAAUGGGGGCAACCCUGAUCCAGCCAUGCCGCGUGAGUGAUGAAGGCCUUAGGGUUGUAAAGCUCUUUUAUCCGGGACGAUAAUGACGGUACCGGAGGAAUAAGCCCCGGCUAACUUCGUGCCAGCCGCCGCAGUAA